AGCGAUAACGGCAAACCCUCCGCGAGGAGGGGACGCAAAGCCACGGGACCCACGACGGUCAGCCGGGCUACCGAAC
rnacentral:ncRNA from 1 species